UGCCAAUGACGAGAGAACUGGUAAAUGUGUAAUGUAUGAUUUUUUUAUGAUUACAGACCCUACUGCCUUCCUUCUGAGGCC
rfam:Glycine max cultivar Williams 82 chromosome 5, whole genome shotgun sequence.